AGUCGUAACAAGGUCUCCGUAGGUGAACCUGCGGAGGGAUCAUUACACAAAUAUGAAGGCGGGCUGGAACCUCUCGGGGUUACAGCCUUGCUGAAUUAUUCACCCUUGUCUUUUGCGUACUUCUUGUUUCCUUGGUGGGUUCGCCCACCACUAGGACAAACAUAAACCUUUUGUAAUUGCAAUCAGCGUCAGUAACAAAUUAAUAAUUACAACUUUCAACAACGGAUCUCUUGGUUCUGGCAUCGAUGAAGAACGCAGCGAAAUGCGAUAAGUAGUGUGAAUUGCAGAAUUCAGUGAAUCAUCGAAUCUUUGAACGCACAUUGCGCCCUUUGGUAUUCCAAAGGGCAUGCCUGUUCGAGCGUCAUUUGUACCCUCAAGCUUUGCUUGGUGUUGGGCGUCUUGUCUCUAGCUUUGCUGGAGACUCGCCUUAAAGUAAUUGGCAGCCGGCCUACUGGUUUCGGAGCGCAGCACAAGUCGCACUCUCUAUCAGCAAAGGUCUAGCAUCCAUUAAGCCUUUUUUUUCAACUUUUAACCUCGGAUCAGGUAGGGAUACCCGCUGAACUUAAGCAUAUCAAUAAAAAGUCG
rnacentral:rRNA from 1 species